rnacentral:rRNA from 1 species
UACAGAGGUCCCAAGCGUUGUUCGGAUUCACUGGGCGUAAAGAGCUCGUAGGCGGUGUGUCGCGUCGGCCGUGAAAACCUGCAGCUUAACUGUGGGCUUGCGGUCGAUACGGGCAUCACUGGAGUUCGGCAGGGGAGACUGGAAUUCCUGGUGUAGCGGUGAAAUGCGCAGAUAUCAGGAGGAACACCGGUGGCGAAGGCGGGUCUCUGGGCCGAUACUGACGCUGAGGAGCGAAAGCGUGGGGAGCGAACAGG